AUGAAUAAGAGCAGGAGGAAACCAGACCCGUGCCAGGCUUGUGAGCUCAGGCUGCAGUGCAGUGCACCUCUGUGGGCUUCUUGUCAUUGUUCUCAGAGGUCUGUUUCUCCAGAGCUUUGAAAAGUAACGUUCCUGAGGGUAGGCUGGGGAUAUUUUUAAAAUCCUCCCACCAACCUGCCAAAUCACAGGAUGGAGUUACUCAGUGUCUCCUUUCCAUUGAAUGUUUUGCCACAUGCAAACUUUCCUCUUCUGUCUCAGUGUACUGUGUUUUGCUAGGCUUACUUGCAAAGGUUAAAAGAAUGGAGUGUACUGGAGUCAGGAAAGCUCAGUGUCUGUUGGAGGUGAAGUCACCAGCAUUGCAUUUCUACACCAGUCACAACUGAUAAGUUCAAAACCACAUCAGGGAGGCAACUACUAAGAAUAGAAAGUACCAUCUCUGCCAUGAUAAAUCACCCCCAGGAAAACCAGCUUAUCCCAGCUCAGGGUGGCCACAAAACCAAC